GUUAAAAAGCUCGUAGUUGGAUUUCUGUGAGAGUAUGAUGUCCUAACGUGUUUAGAGCGCAGAAAACUCUUGCAUCCUUCUGUUACCUCCACGUGGCAUUCGCUUGCCAGUGGUUGGCUCAGAGAAUUUACCUUGAGAAAAUUAGAGUGUUUCAGGCAGGCUUAGUCGGAAUACAUUAGCAUGGAAUAAUAGAAUAGGACUCCGGUCUCGUUGUUGGUUUGAGGGACUGUAGUAAUGAUUAAUAGGGAUAGUUGGGGGCAUUAGUAUUCGGUUGUCAGAGGUGAAAUUCUCAGAUUUAUUGAAGACUAACUUAUGCGAAAGCAUUUGCCAAGGAUGUUUUCAUUAAUCAAGAACGAAAGUUAGGGGAUCAAAGACGAUCAAAUACCGUCCUAGUCUUAACCAUAAACUAUGCCGACUCGGGAUUAGGGGGCGUGUUAUUAUCCGCCUUCAGCACCGUAUGAGAAAUCAAAGUCAUUUGGGUUCUGGGGGGAGUAUGGUC
rnacentral:rRNA from 1 species